rnacentral:tmRNA from 1 species
GGGGGCGUAAAGGUUUCGACGGGGAUUGUGAACCAUAGUAAGCGAGCAGCGAGGCGGGACCGCUUUAAAAGCAGCACUUUUAAAUUUAGUUGAGAAAUCUUCUAAUAACAACAACUAUGGCUAUGCCAUGGCUGUUGCAGCUUAAUUAAUAUAAGCUGCUGUCCUCUCUGAAAAUACCGCGGUUCAGAAUUGGGCAUCAUUUAGCGGUGAACGUGAAUCGGGUAAUGCCUUUUAUCCGGUCAUGAAGUAAAGGCUACCAAAGCUUUGAGCCUGCCGUCCGGCGCAAGGCUGAGGGAAUUUUAAAAGAAUGGAUACGCUCGUAGAAAGCUCUGGGGAACGAUUUUCGGACAGGGGUCCGACUCCCCUCGCCUCCACCA